rnacentral:hammerhead_ribozyme from 1 species
AUCCAGCUGACGAGUACCAAAUAGGACGAAACGCACAUACUGGAU